UGGACCCACUGGUUGUCCUCUAGGUUACAGAGAGCUGGUAGUCCCAUCCACCACACUACCAGGUGGGUGGUAUAGAGGAGAUGGACCCACUGGUUGUCCUCUAGGUUACAGAGAGCUGGUAUUCCCAUCCACCACACUACCAGGUGGGUGGUAUAGAGGAGAUGGACCCACUGGUUGUCCUCUAGGUUACAGAGAGCUGGUAGUCCCAUCCACCACACUACCAGGUGGGUGGUAUAGAGGAGAUGGACCCACUGGUUGUCCUCUAGGUUACAGAGAGCUGGUAUUCCCAUCCACCACACUACCAGGUGGGUGGUAUAGAGGAGAUGGACCCACUGGUUGUCCUCUAGGUUACAGAGAGCUGGUAUUCCCAUCCACCACACUACCAGGUGGGUGGUAUAGAGGAGAUGGACCCACUGGUUGUCCUCUAGGUUACAGAGAGC